AUGCUAUAUGAGCCCCAGGCAUGCUAUCAGAGAGCUCCUUCUGCUUGGGCUGCUCUUUGGGAGGACUAAAACCGGCUUGAUUGAAUGCUACAUGUGGCUUGGCAGCGUAGAUGCAGCAUUACCAAGAGCCUGAGCAGAGUUGUAUCAGAGUCACCUCUUUCAUCUGCAAAGGGUGCUUUGUGCGGUCGUGGACAGGAAAGGGAAAUCCUCGUGUCGCGGAGCAGGGAGGGAAGGUGAGUGUUGUCAGCCUGGUCAUCCCUUAUCUGAAGCGAAGGGAAGACACUCAGGUGUUUCCCUCAGAGGGUCCGAGGUGAGUCUGUUUGGGAUAGAGGAGCAGCGUGGCAGGUGGGCG